rnacentral:rRNA from 1 species
GGGUUGUGAGGUUAAGCGACUAAGCGUACACGGUGGAUGCCCUGGCAGUCAGAGGCGAUGAAGGACGUGCUAAUCUGCGAUAAGCGUCGGUAAGGUGAUAUGAACCGUUAUAACCGGCGAUUUCCGAAUGGGGAAACCCAGUGUGAUUCGUCACACUAUCAUUACGUGAAUACAUAGCGUAAUGAAGCGAACCGGGGGAACUGAAACAUCUAAGUACCCCGAGGAAAAGAAAUCAACCGAGAUUCCCCCAGUAGCGGCGAGCGAACGGGGAGCAGCCCAGAGUCUGAAUCAGCUUGUGUGUUAGUGGAACGGUCUGGAAAGUCCGACGGUACAGGGUGAUAGUCCCGUACACCAAAAUGCACAGG